AGGGAGCUUAAAAAUAAAGUUUGAAUAGCUCUGAGAUAGCAUAUGGAUUUAUUAGACAGAGUUCCUCAAAUUUAUUAUUUCAGAACAUUUCUCUAUAUUCCAGUGAUCAAGUCCUUGACUGGGAGAAUAACCAUCAUCAUGACACAGUCUCCAUGAGAAAAUUCAGAUUCAUCUUAUGUACUUCAAAUCACAUGCCUUUUCCAGGAAUGCAGCCUCCUAUAGCACCAUCUGGAUGUGGCAAGUUUCUCUUAGUAGACUAA
rnacentral:lncRNA from 1 species